CCUACGGGAGGCAGCAGUGGGGAAUAUUGCACAAUGGGGGAAACCCUGAUGCAGCGACGCCGCGUGAGCGAUGAAGUAUUUCGGUAUGUAAAGCUCUAUCAGCAGGGAAGAAAAUGACGGUACCUGACUAAUAAGCCCCGGCUAACUACGUGCCAGCAGCCGCGGUAAUACGUAGGGGGCACGCGCUAUCCGGUUUUACUGGGUGUAAAGGGAGCGUAGACGGCUGUGCAAGCCAGAGGUGAAAGCCCGGGGCUCAACCCCGGGAUUGCAUUUGGAACUAGGUGGCUGGAGUGUCGGAGAGGCAGGCGGAAUUCCUAGUGUAGCGGUGAAAUGCGUAGAUAUUAGGAAGAACACCAGUGGCGAAGGCAGCCUGCUGGACGAUGACUGACGUUGAGGCUCGAAAGCGUGGGGAGCAAACAGGAUUAGAUACCCUGGUAGUC
rnacentral:rRNA from 1 species